UACGGAGGGUGCGAGCGUUGUCCGGAAUCACUGGGCGUAAAGGGCGCGUAGGCGGCCUGAUAAGUAGGGGGUGAAAUCCUGCGGCUUAACCGCAGGGCUGCCUUCUAAACUGUCAGGCUAGAGCACAGUAGAGGCAGGUGGAAUUCCGGGUGUAGCGGUGGAAUGCGUAGAGAUCCGGAAGAACACCGGUGGCGAAGGCGGCCUGCUGGGCAGUAGCUGACGCUGAGGCGCGACAGCGUGGGGAGCAAACAGG
rnacentral:rRNA from 1 species